rnacentral:lncRNA from 1 species
ACUCUGUGAAGCCGUGGUCUUCUUGCGCGGGAUAGGGCACCUGAGGAAGCGGGCUGCGCCUGUGGCACAGUGGUACGGGGCCGGAAGAUAACUUACCUGAAGAGGCGAUCAAUCCCUGAGAAUCGCGGGCGACCCGUUUUUUGUGUGCCCGGGUGCGGGGUGCCGGGACACGGCGUUGAAGGCGCUGAGCGGAGGGAUCUCAGGGCGAGCUCGAGCGGCGACGGCGCGCUCUGUGAUUGCACCGCGAGCGCCUGAGGUGAUCUCGGCCUACAUCGCGUCAGCGGGGCCUUGGGCGUGAGCACCGCCCCCUGUCCGGACGCAGGGUACUGGGGCACCUCGAACUGUGGCACCUCACCCUUCUCCGGGGCCACGUCUUGGGGACUCCGACAGCCCCAAAUAAGCCCUCGGGGACUGGGGUUGUGAAAAGCGAGGUCGUGAAGACGCCGGCCUCAUACCGAAGGGUAGGACGGUGAGGUCAGCCCCGUCCCACUCCAACUAAAAUCAACCUGACAGUCGCGGUGGCUCACGCCUGUAAUCCCUGCACUUUGGGAGGCCGAGGCGGGAGGAUCACCUGAGGUCAAGAGUUCGAGACCAGCCUCACCAACAUGAUGAAACCUCGUCUCUACUAAAAAUACAAAAUAUUAGCCGGACGUGGUGGCAGACGCCUUUAAUCCCAGCUACUCGGGAGGCUGAGGCAGGAGAAUCACUUGAACCUGGGAGGCAAAGGUUGCAGUGAGCCGAGAUUGCGUCACUGUACUCCAGCCUGGGCAACAAGAGCAAAACUCUGUCUCAAAAAAAAAAAAAAAAAAAAGAAAGAAACUGUGAUAUAUAUAAAUAUAUAUUUAUAUAUUUAUAUAUGGAAUGGAAUGCUACGUGGUCACAAAAAGGAAUGAAUGAAUGGCAUUUUCAGCAACCUGGAUGGGAUUGAAGACUAUUAUUCUAAGUGAAGUAACUCAGGAAUGGAAAACAAAACAUCAUAUGUUCUCACUCCUAAGUGAGAGCUAAGCUAUGAGGAUGCAAAGGCAUAAGAAUGACACAAUGGACUAUGGGGACUCAGGGAAAGGGUGGAAGGGGGUGAGGGAUAAAAGAUUACAAAUUGGGUUCAGUGUAUACUACUCGGCGAUGGUUGCACCAAAAUCUCACAAAUCACCACUAAAGAACUUACUCAUGUAACCAAAUACCACAUUUCUUAAAACCCUAUGGAAAUAAAAAAUUAAAAAAGAAAAAAGAACCCAACAGUCUUCUAUUAAGCCAGGUGUAAAAGAGAUUUACAAAAAUCUAAAACUAUGCCAUUCUUCUCACUAAUAUUUUAUUUUUGAAAAUAUAGCUAUAGGCCGGGUGCGGUGGCUUACUCCUGUAAUCCCACCACUUUGGGAGGCCCUGGUGGGUAGAUCACAAGUUCAGGAGUUUGAGACCAGCCUGACCAACAUGGUGAAACACCAUCUCUACUAAAAAUACAAAAAUUAGCCAGGCAUGGUGGCGCGUGCCUGUAAUCCCAGCUACUCAGGAGGCUGAGGCAGGAGAAUCGCUUGAACUCGC